CAGAAUAGGAGUACCGCGUCAAGUGCCGGCAGAUGGGAAGUCGCUGACGGACGAAAAGGCUCUGACCUUGCGGUGGUGCUCCGCUUCCGCUGU
rnacentral:ncRNA from 1 species